CUUUGACAAUGUUGCACUACUGUACCAUCUAUUCUAGCAGUGCAAUAGUAUUGUCAUAG
ensembl:miRNA gmo-mir-301b gmo-mir-301b